GACGAACGCUGGCGGCGUGCCUAACACAUGCAAGUCGAACGGGGGUUCGGAAAGCUUGCUUUCCGAAGCCUAGUGGCGGACGGGUGAGUAACGCGUGAGUAACCUGCCUUUCAGAGGGGAAUAACGUUCUGAAAAGAACGCUAAUACCGCAUAACGUACAGUUACCGCAUGGUAGCAGUACCAAAGGAGCAAUCCGCUGAAAGAUGGACUCGCGUCCGAUUAGCUAGUUGGUGGGGUAAAGGCCUACCAAGGCGACGAUCGGUAGCCGGACUGAGAGGUUGAACGGCCACAUUGGGACUGAGACACGGCCCAGACUCCUACGGGAGGCAGCAGUGGGGGAUAUUGCACAAUGGGGGGAAACCCUGAUGCAGCAACGCCGCGUGUGGGAAGAAGGUUUUCGGAUUGGUAAACCACUGUUCUUGGUGAAGAUAAUGACGGUAACCAAGGAGAAAGCUCCGGCUAACUACGUG
rnacentral:rRNA from 1 species